CCUACGGGAGGCAGCAGUAGGGAAUAUUGCUCAAUGGGGGAAACCCUGAAGCAGCAACGCCGCGUGGAGGAUGAAGGUUUUCGGAUUGUAAACUCCUGUUGUUAGAGAAGAUAAUGACGGUAUCUAACGAAUAAGCACCGGCUAACUCCGAGCCAGCAGCCGCGGUAAUACGGGGGGUGCAAGCGUUACUCGGAAUCACUGGGCGUAAAGGGCGCGUAGGCGGGAUAGCAAGUCAGAUGUGAAAUCCUAUGGCUUAACCAUAGAACUGAAUUUGAAACUGUUAUUCUAGAGUAUGGGAGAGGUAGGUGGAAUUCUUGGUGUAGGGGUAAAAUCCGUAGAGAUCAAGAGGAAUACUCAUUGCGAAGGCGACCUGCUAGAACAUAACUGACGCUGAUGCGCGAAAGCGUGGGGAGCAAACAGGAUUAGAUACCCGUGUAGUC
rnacentral:rRNA from 1 species